CUUGGUCAUUUAGAGGAAGUAAAAGUCGUAACAAGGUCUCCGUAGGUGAACCUGCGGAGGGAUCAUUACACAAAUAUGAAGGCGGGCUGGAACCUCUCGGGGUUACAGCCUUGCUGAAUUAUUCACCCUUGUCUUUUGCGUACUUCUUGUUUCCUUGGUGGGUUCGCCCACCACUAGGACAAACAUAAACCUUUUGUAAUUGCAAUCAGCGUCAGUAACAAAUUAAUAAUUACAACUUUCAACAACGGAUCUCUUGGUUCUGGCAUCGAUGAAGAACGCAGCGAAAUGCGAUAAGUAGUGUGAAUUGCAGAAUUCAGUGAAUCAUCGAAUCUUUGAACGCACAUUGCGCCCUUUGGUAUUCCAAGGGCAUGCCUGUUCGAGCGUCAUUUGUACCCUCAAGCUUUGCUUGGUGUUGGGCGUCUUGUCUCUAGCUUUGCUGGAGACUCGCCUUAAAGUAAUUGGCAGCCGGCCUACUGGUUUCGGAGCGCAGCACAAGUCGCACUCUCUAUCAGCAAAGGUCUAGCAUCCAUUAAGCCUUUUUUUCAACUUUUGGCCUCGGAUCAGGUAGGGAUACCCGCUGAACUUAAGCAUAUCAAUAA
rnacentral:rRNA from 1 species